GAUGAACGCUGGCGGCGUGCCUAAUACAUGCAAGUAGAACGCUGAAGGAGGAGCUUGCUCUUCUGGAUGAGUUGCGAACGGGUGAGUAACGCGUAGGUAACCUGCCUGGUAGCGGGGGAUAACUAUUGGAAACGAUAGCUAAUACCGCAUGACAACAGUUAUUGCAUGAUAACUGUUUAAAAGGGGCAACUGCUCCACUACCAGAUGGACCUGCGUUGUAUUAGCUAGUUGGUGAGGUAACGGCUCACCAAGGCGACGAUGCAUAGCCGACCUGAGAGGGUGAUCGGCCACACUGGGACUGAGACACGGCCCAGACUCCUACGGGAGGCAGCAGUAGGGAAUCUUCGGCAAUGGACGGAAGUCUGACCGAGCAACGCCGCGUGAGGGAAGAAGGUUUUCGGAUCGUAAAGCUCUGUUGUAAGAGAAGAACGAGUGUGAGAGUGGAAAGUUCACACUGUGACGGUAUCUUACCAGAAAGGGACGGCUAACUACGUG
rnacentral:rRNA from 1 species